rnacentral:rRNA from 1 species
GACGAACGCUGGCGGCGUGCUUAACACAUGCAAGUCGAACGGAAAGGCCCUGCUUUUGUGGGGUGCUCGAGUGGCGAACGGGUGAGUAACACGUGAGUAACCUGCCCUUGACUUUGGGAUAACUUCAGGAAACUGGGGCUAAUACCGGAUAGGAGCUCCUGCUGCGUGGUGGGCGUUGGAAAGUUUCGGCGGUGGGGGAUGGACUCGCGGCUUAUCAGCUUGUUGGUGGGGUAGUGGCUUACCAAGGGUUUGACGGGUAGCCGGCCUGAGAGGGUGCACGGGGACAUGGGGACUAAGAUACGGAGCAGAAUCCUACGGUAGGCAGCGGUGGGGAAUAUUGCGCAAUAGGCGGAAGCGUGUGGCAGCAACGCCGCGUGCGGAAAGACGGCUUUCGGGUUGUAAACCGCUUUCGCAUGUGACGAAGCGUGAGUGACGGUAAUGGAUAAAGAAGCACCGGCUAACUACGUG